CGCGGAGUGGAGCAGCGGCAGCUCGUUGGGCUCAUAACCCAAAGGUCACAGGUUCAAAUCCUGUCUCCGCAA
rnacentral:tRNA from 2 species